rnacentral:rRNA from 1 species
GACGAACGCUGGCGGCGUGCUUAACACAUGCAAGUCGAACGGAAAGGCCCUGCUUUUGUGGGGUGCUCGAGUGGCGAACGGGUGAGUAACACGUGAGUAACCUGCCCUUGACUUUGGGAUAACUUCAGGAAACUGGGGCUAAUACCGGAUAGGAGCUCCUGCUGCAUGGUGGGGGUUGGAAAGUUUCGGCGGUUGGGGAUGGACUCGCGGCUUAUCAGCUUGUUGGUGGGGUAGUGGCUUACCAAGGCUUUGACGGGUAGCCGGCCUGAGAGGGUGACCGGCCACAUUGGGACUGAGAUACGGCCCAGACUCCUACGGGAGGCAGCAGUGGGGAAUAUUGCACAAUGGGCGGAAGCCUGAUGCAGCAACGCCGCGUGCGGGAUGACGGCCUUCGGGUUGUAAACCGCUUUCGCCUGUGACGAAGCGUGAGUGACGGUAAUGGGUAAAGAAGCACCGGCUAACUACGUGCCAGCAGCCGCGGUGAUACGUAGGGUGCGAGCGUUGUCCGGAUUUAUUGGGCGUAAAGGGCUCGUAGGUGGUUGAUCGCGUCGGAAGUGCAAUCUUGGGGCUUAACCCUGAGCGUGCUUUCGAUACGGGUUGACUUGAGGAAGGUAGGGGAGAAUGGAAUUCCUGGUGGAGCGGUGGAAUGCGCAGAUAUCAGGAGGAACACCAGUGGCGAAGGCGGUUCUCUGGGCCUUUCCUGACGCUGAGGAGCGAAAGCGUGGGGAGCGAACAGGCUUAGAUACCCUGGUAGUCCACGCUGUAAACGGUGGGUACUAGGUGUGGGGUCCAUUCCACGGGUUCCGUGCCGUAGCUAACGCUUUAAGUACCCCGCCUGGGGAGUACGGCCGCAAGGCUAAAACUCAAAGGAAUUGACGGGGCCCCGCACAAGCGGCGGAGCAUGCGGAUUAAUUCGAUGCAACGCGUAGAACCUUACCUGGGUUUGACAUGGAUCGGGAGUGCUCAGAGAUGGGUGUGCCUCUUUUGGGGUCGGUUCACAGGUGGUGCAUGGCUGUCGUCAGCUCGUGUCGUGAGAUGUUGGGUUAAGUCCCGCAACGAGCGCAACCCUUGUUCACUGUUGCCAGCACGUUAUGGUGGGGACUCAGUGGAGACCGCCGGGGUCAACUCGGAGGAAGGUGGGGAUGACGUCAAGUCGUCAUGCCCCUUAUGUCCAGGGCUUCACGCAUGCUACAAUGGCUGGUACAGAGAGUGGCGAGCCUGUGAGGGUGAGCGAAUCUCGGAAAGCCGGUCUCAGUUCGGAUUGGGGUCUGCAACUCGACCUCAUGAAGUCGGAGUCGCUAGUAAUCGCAGAUCAGCAACGCUGCGGUGAAUACGUUCCCGGGGCU